rnacentral:rRNA from 1 species
UACGGAAGGCAGCAGUGGGGAAUAUUGGACAAUGGGCGAAAGCCUGAUCCAGCCAUGCCGCAUGAGUGAAGAAGGCCUUCGGGUUGUAAAGCUCUUUUAGUGAGAAAGAUAAUGACGGUACUCACAGAAGAAGUCCUGGCUAACUCCGUGCCAGCAGCCGCGGUAAUACGGAGAGGGCUAGCGUUAUUCGGAAUUAUUGGGCGUAAAGAGCGCGUAGGCUGAUUAGUAAGUUAAAAGUGAAAUCCCAAAGCUUAACUUUGGAAUUGCUUUUUAAAACUGCUAGUCUAGAGAUUGAAAGAGGAUAGAGGAAUUCCUAGUGUAGAGGUGAAAUUCGUAAAUAUUAGGAGGAACACCAGUGGCGAAGGCGUCUAUCUGGUUCAAAUCUGACGCUGAGGCGCGAAGGGCGUGGGGAGCGAAACAGGGAUUUAGAUACCCGU